UACAGAGGUCCCAAGCGUUUGUUCGGAUUCACUGGGCGUAAAGGGUGCGUAGGUGGUGAGGUAAGUCGGAUGUGAAAUCUCCAAGCUCAACUUGAAACUGCAUUGGAAACUACCUUGCUAGAGGAUUUGAGGGGGGAUUGGAAUACUUGGUGUAGCAGUGAAAUGCGUAGAUAUCAAGUGGAACACCAGUGGCGAAGGCGAAUCCCUGGAAAAUACCUGACACUGAGGCACGAAAGCUAGGGGAGCAAACAGG
rnacentral:rRNA from 1 species